UACGUAGGGUGCAAGCGUUAUCCGGAAUUAUUGGGCGUAAAGAGCUCGUAGGCGGUUUGUCACGUCGCUGUGAAAACUGGAGGCUCAACCUCCAGCCUGCAGUGGGUACGGGCAGACUAGAGUGCGGUAGGGGAGACUGGAAUUCCUGGUGUAGCGGUGAAAUGCGCAGAUAUCGAGGAGGAACACCGGUGGCGAAGGCGGGUCUCUGGGCCGUAACUGACGCUGGAGG
rnacentral:rRNA from 1 species